UACAGAGGGGGCAAGCGUUGUUCGGAAUUACUGGGCGUAAAGCGUGCGCAGGCGGUUUUGUAAGACAGAGGUGAAAUCCCCGGGCUUAACCUGGGAAUUGCGCUUGAAACUAGCGGGCUUGAGUGCGGCAGAGGGGGGUGGAAUUCCACGUGUAGCAGUGAAAUGCGUAGAGAUGUGGAGGAACACCGAUGGCGAAGGCAGCCCCCUGGGUCGACACUGACGCUCAUGCACGAAAGCGUGGGGAGCAAACAGG
rnacentral:rRNA from 1 species